AUUGAACGCUGGCGGCAUGCCUUACACAUGCAAGUCGAACGGCAGCACGGGAGCAAUCCUGGUGGCGAGUGGCGAACGGGUGAGUAAUAUAUCGGAACGUGCCCAGUCGUGGGGAUAACGUAGCGAAAGCUACGCUAAUACCGCAUACGAUCUAUGGAUGAAAGCGGGGGAUCGCAAGACCUCGCGCGAUUGGAGCGGCCGAUAUCAGAUUAGGUAGUUGGUGAGGUAAAGGCUCACCAAGCCGACGAUCUGUAGCUGGUCUGAGAGGACGACCAGCCACACUGGGACUGAGACACGGCCCAGACUCCUACGGGAGGCAGCAGUGGGGGAAUUUUUGGACAAUGGGCGCAAGCCUGAUCCAGCAAUGCCGCGUGCAGGAUGAAGGCCUUCGG
rnacentral:rRNA from 1 species